CACAAAACCACUGAUACCAACUCUCUCACUGAUUACUUGAAGACAAUAAAAGAUCUGAUAUUCUG
rnacentral:snoRNA from 1 species